rnacentral:rRNA from 2 species
CGGUUAUAAGAUCCCUCAAAGAUGAUGAGGUUAAUAGGUUCGAGGUGGAAGCAUGGUGACAUGUGGAGCUGACGAAUACUAAUCGAUCGAAGACUUAAUCAAA